rnacentral:rRNA from 1 species
UACGAAGGGGGCUAGCGUUGCUCGGAAUCACUGGGCGUAAAGCGCACGUAGGCGGCUUUCUAAGUCAGGGGUGAAAUCCUGGAGCUCAACUCCAGAACUGCCUUUGAUACUGGAGAGCUCGAGUCCGGAAGAGGUGAGUGGAACUCCGAGUGUAGAGGUGAAAUUCGUAGAUAUUCGGAAGAACACCAGUGGCGAAGGCGACUCACUGGACAUGUAUUGACGCUGAGGUACGAAAGCGUGGGGAGCAAACAGG